GACGAACGCUGGCGGCGUGCCUAAUACAUGCAAGUAGAACGCUGAAGGAGGAGCUUGCUUCUCUGGAUGAGUUGCGAACGGGUGAGUAACGCGUAGGUAACCUGCCUGGUAGCGGGGGAUAACUAUUGGAAACGAUAGCUAAUACCGCAUAAUAGUAGAUGUUGCAUGACAUUUGCUUAAAAGGUGCAAUUGCAUCACUACCAGAUGGACCUGCGUUGUAUUAGCUAGUUGGUGAGGUAACGGCUCACCAAGGCAACGAUACAUAGCCGACCUGGGAGGGGGAUCGGCCACACUGGGACUGAGACACGGCCCAGACUCCUACGGGAGGCAGCAGUAGGGAAUCUUCGGCAAUGGACGGAAGUCUGACCGAGCAACGCCGCGGGAGUGAAGAAGGGUUUCGGAUCGUAAAGCUCUGUUGUAAGAGAAGAACGAGUGUGAGAGUGGAAAGUUCACACUGUGACGGUAUCUUACCAGAAAGGGACGGCUAACUACGUG
rnacentral:rRNA from 1 species